UACGAAGGGGGCUAGCGUUGCUCGGAAUUACUGGGCGUAAAGCGUGCGCAGGCGGUUCGCUGUGUCCGAUGUGAAAGCCCCGGGCUUAACCUGGGAAUGGCAUUGGAAACUGGCGGGCUUGAGUGCGGCAGAGGGGGGUGGAAUUCCGCGUGUAGCAGUGAAAUGCGUAGAGAUGUGGAGGAACACCGAUGGCCGGAAGGCAGCCCCCUGGGCUAACACUGACGCUCAUGCACGAAAGCGUGGGGAGCAAACAGG
rnacentral:rRNA from 1 species